GAAACCAGAAAAGAGGAGUGUCCCGGACGUUUGCCACCCCCAAAAAAAAAGGUUCCGGUUCCGAACCAAGUUAUUCUACGCCCUCGUCUUUAUAUACUCUGAUAUCUGAAGAUCACAAGCGCGCUUUCGAAUCUGCGAUUCUACUCAUGGAGAUGCAAGCUAGAAGUAUUUCCGACGGCUGCAGGAUCAAAGGCCGGAAUCCACGCAAGAUUUUUUUGUUUAUUUUCAAGCAGAAGGUUGGGUCACUAGUCCGUGGAAAAGACAAUAUCAUUCGAAAACCAAAGAAGAUGUGCAGGAUAUGUAUCCGUGACGAGUAUGGCACGAGAACACUCGCUAAACCCAGAGUCAUACUUAAACCAACAACACUGUGGCACGAAAUAGAGCUUCGUACUUGGAGGUGGAGGAUUGGUAGGGUGAUCCGCGUGCACGAUGCCAAUUCAUGGGUGGCAUUUAACGAAAAUAUUGGAACUUUGGAAAGACUGGUUUGUACGGUAAACAAUGCACUCAGUAAGUACAGAGAGAGACGUUUCCAAGCGGGGUUGUUUUAUUUAGUCCCGGAAAAUAAACAUUUGACGUUCAUAGUUA